AGUGAACGCUGGCGGUAGGCCUAACACUUGCAAGUCGAACGGCGGCACAGUAAGAGCUUGCUCUUACGGGUGGCGAGUGGCGGACGGGUGAGGAAUACAUCGGAAUCUACUUUUUCGUGGGGGAUAACGUAGGGAAACUUACGCUAAUACCGCAUACGACCUACGGGUGAAAGCAGGGGAUCUUCGGACCUUGCGCGAUUGAAUGAGCCGAUGUCGGAUUAGCUAGUUGGCGGGGUAAAGGCCCACCAAGGCGACGAUCCGUAGCUGGUCUGAGAGGAUGAUCAGCCACACUGGAACUGAGACACGGUCCAGACUCCUACGGGAGGCAGCAGUGGGGAAUAUUGGACAAUGGGCGCAAGCCUGAUCCAGCCAUACCGCGUGGGUGAAGAAGGCCUUCGGGUUGUAAAGCCCUUUUGUUGGGAAAGAAAAGCAGCAGGUUAAUACCCCGCUGUUCUGACGGUACCCAAAGAAUAAGCACCGGCUAACUUCGUG
rnacentral:rRNA from 1 species